rnacentral:misc_RNA from 1 species
AAGGGAGAAGAACGAAGAGAGCAAGUGAUUCAGUUUUCACUUUUCAGUUAUUGUGAAUUUGUGUUUAACGAAAUAUGGCGUCAUAAGAAGUAUGUACUUUGCGGUAAUUUUGUAGAAUUUGCAUUGGAUGUCGUGACUAUAAUGAACAAUGAUUGAAUGAUGAUAAUAAAGUUUGCCAAGGCCAAGAGACUUGCUAAUGUGAAAUUGGUAGAGUAAAAAGCAAUGGAACCAGUGGGACAUUGGCCUGGUCCAGCCUAUCCUGCUGCAUUUGACCGGCGGCUGACAUCAGGGGGGGCAGGGGACACCCCCUCCACCAUUCUUCCACCACCCCACCUGCUAUUGCCAUCCGCUUACAACUCUGUUCUGUUCAAUCAGCAAAGUACGUAUCAACAAAAUUCAACAUUCAGUACCAACAGUGACACCUAUCAUCACUCAACUGCUACUUCAGUUACUGCAUCGAAUCCGUACUAUGGAACUCAUGGAACUACAGCGCUGAUGGGCCUGCCAUCUGCUGCCUCUAUUCCUGCGCAACUAGGAUCUCAGUUUCAGAGCUCUUACGAACAUGCGCGUUCAGAAGUGGUAACCCACAGCUCCAACACAUCAACAUCUAACUCAACUGGCUUUGACAACUACAGCAACCCCCUCUUCGGCUCUUCAGCCCUCAAUUCUCAGUUAAUGAACUUGAACUACAAUAAUAAGAAUUCAAAUUUACAAACAUGCGGUGUGUCAACCAGUGAGUCAAAAGACAAUUUCUACUCUCCCAUUUCCCACUCAUACCAAGUUCCCAAUACACUUGCAAGUAAUAAUUUAUAUAAUUUACAUGAAACAACUAAGAAUUGUGUGAUUGUGACCGAGUCUCCUUCAUUGCCCCUUUCAGCCCAACCUACCAUUUCAUCAUUGCCAUCAUCAGCCCAUCAGAACAACCAUACAAUCGCCCAAUUUCAACCAACUCUUUCGACUAUCACACCACUUCUAACACUCCAUAACAAUUCUAAAUUUUCCCAGCCGAUUAAUACAAUGAAUUCAAAAGAAUUUCAGUCCCCCGAACUGGCUUCGAAAGUACAACACUCGACAGGUGUUUCUCCUUCACAGCUACAAAACAACCUUUACGAGCAUUCCUCUAAAACACCAGCUCCCCUCACAACUUACCAACAUACAAUCAAUGAAAAUCGUCACAAUGUCUACAAUAAUCGGAUUCUUGCUGAAUGUUCUAGCCCAUCUCCCCCCGUGUCUGUACCUAUGGGUGGCUUACCUACCCAUAAUUCAAAUUUGAGCUCUAAUAAAGCACCUUUAUCUGAGCUGUCGACUCCAGAUCAACGCUCAAGUAUUGAAACGGGCUUUACUCCAUCACUAUCCCCUGGGUAUCGAAUGCCGCUCUACAGUGGUGUCGAAUAUCCAGCAUCUCCCCAGCAGGACUUUCACACUACAGGCAGGGCUGAAAGCGCGGGCAGUUAUUCGCCAUGCAGUAGACAACAACAGAGCCCUGUUCAAUGUCCAGUAACUAGUCCUUCGAGUACACACUUUCACACCAGUCCAACUUAUCCGUCUCACAACAGUCCAGUCACCUCGCAUCCAACUUACAAACUAACCAACUUUUCCGAUACUUCUGCAUUAAGAGCACAAACACCACAAUCAUUAUUAUCACCAUCACAAACAAAAGAUUCUGCAAGAAAUUUGAAUCAGGUGACUCAUUUGAAUACUCAACAGUAUUAUUGGCAAGACAGUGAUCAAAAUCUUCAGAAGGCAGAUUCCAAUAAUUAUGAUAAACGCAGUCCAUCAUAUGGAAACGCUUUUGAGAGAAAUUCAGCCACUGAUAAUUCCUACUUACAUCCGAUGUUGAAGGAAAAGAUGUUAUCUGCUCAUAGUGAUCCUAUCAGCGCAAUAACAAAGGUCACAAAUAUUAUUGAGGAAAGUGUUAAGUACUUGCCUACUGGUGUAACCAAUCCACCUGAAGCAAAAAAUCAGAUAAAUUGCAAACAGAUACAAACAGAUCAUCAGUCGAAGAAUUCGAUAGAGCAGAAUGUCUCUAAUAAUGGGUCGAAUCCAUUUGAAAGAUCUUCAGCUGGAAACUUCAGGUCUCCUGAAGACAGCAAUCAGUUUAGAUUCAAUAAUCCUACAACCGGAAUUCAAAAUUCAACCAAUUACGUAUCUCCUUCAUCAAUCUUGCCCAAUGAUUCUUCGCAAAUUAGAAACGAGUCAAACAUGAAUCAGAUUUUGCAAGGAAACUCACAGCAGUGUAAUACGAAUUCCAACUCAUUCUACAACCCUCCAUCGUUCAAUGGAAAUAAAACUAAUAAUAUUGUUGAAAAGGGUAGUGGGUCUCAAAAUGCCAUCAGUGAUUAUCCUUCUAAAAUGCAUUUACCUCACUGCUCAAUGCCAAAGAAGUAUGAAAAUGAUUCACUAGCUACAUCUAAAAAUUCUGUAAUACAUGUCACAAAUGAAGAUCCUAGCAAUACCUCAACAACUCCUGAAGCUGUGGAUUACGCAAAACACAGUAUGAAUGCCAGCUCGUUUGGUGAUAGAGGAACAUCCGUACCAAAUGAAAUCAUUAAAACUAUUCCUUUUCACAAUGUCAAUCAGUCUCUGAUGGUAUCCCAAGGCACGUCUCAUCAUAUUCCCAAUGUCAAUCAGACUCAGGAUGAUUCUAAAACUUCUGUAGCUAAAUUGCCAUCAAUUUCUAUUUCAACAGAGAAUCAUACCAAUUGUAGCUCCUAUGACGGGAAGAAAAAUGUCAAGUCAAGUGUAGGUUUGGGCAAAAAGCAGAAGGACUUGUCUGCUCCUGUUGCCAACUCAGCUGUGGUCACACUGCCGAAGCAGCUAAAAAAGGACGACCGCCAAAGAUAAAAGAAGACUUACAAUCUGCAAACAUGCCAGAAAAGAAGCCACUAUCGUUUCCUCCAUCUAUUAACAAUGGCUUCAUGGCCAGCUACAUCAAGUUCCUAGAAGGUAUUCAGUGUGACUUACCUGACGAGGCUGUUCCAACUCCAAAAAAGGAAGUACGACCUCAAAAAAGGGAAGUACCAUCUACAAAAAAGGAAGUACCAUCUACAAAAAAGGAAGUUCCAUCUGCAAAAAAGGAAGUGUCACCUCCAAAAAAGGAAGUAGCCGCCGCGAGAAGAUCAGAUGAGUCUGAUGAGACCGAAGAGGCAGAACCCGAGCCUCCUCCGAAGAGGGAGCCAUCCACCAGAAGAGCAAGGCGGAAGUCCAGCCUCCUCAAACGAGUCUUGGAUGAAGAUGAGGAGGAUGGCGACGACUACAAUUCUGCCAACUCCGACUCCGACCCAGCAUGGUCGCCUGCUGCUACCAAGGAUGAUUCUGACGAAGAUUUUGAGAUUAGAAGUGAAAGAAGAACGAGGAGAUCGCUGCGGGGGCAUACUCGCUGGGGGGCGGGGAGCCAGCGCGGCAGGAAGCGGGGGCGGUCGUCAAUUGCCAGCUCCAACGAUGAGGAUGAUGAUGACCAUCUCACAAGUGCUUCUAAGCAGAGGAAAUAUCCCACACGUACAAAAUCUGUUUCUCAGACUGAAAACAAAACUAAUGACGGCGAAGGGAAGGCUGAUUUCAUUGAAACUAGUACCAACAAAAGUUUUGAAGUAUUCCCGUUUCAAGUGGGUGAGUUUGUUAUGAAUAAAUCUGAUGUUAAUCAGAAAAAUCAUCCGAUUUGGAGAGUGGAUGGAAAGACCCUGCUCCAGAAGUACCAACCUACUGUACAGAAGGGAGAAAUCAUCUAUAAGAAUAUCCCUACCUACUCUGGAUGGACACACCGCACCAACAAUGAUUUCCAAAAGGUGGAAGUUAAAAUAAUAUCCCAGCAACGCCAUGAAACAGUUGUACAACUAU